rnacentral:ncRNA from 1 species
UAUUAAACGUUGAUUAGGAAAGUAACUAACAGACGCCAUUCAGAGAGUCAUCGGUUGGUGCAAGAUGAUUAGGUAUACGUUAAUGAAAAUCACCUAUGAGUUGUAGAUUGAAUUUAAGUAGAUUCUACUGGGUACUCCCAUUACAGAGACAACAAAUUGUUGUGUUAGUUUGUUUAAGGUACUUGUAAUUAGUCAAGUAUAAAAAAAGGUGGUACCACGUUUAUAACGUCCUUUAG